UGAUGUGAGGGUCAUAUGGGAGUGUGGUCUCUCCCGUUUGGCCAUUUCCCUGCUAUAUAAGAGCUGCACACUUACACUUGGCCACAACCACAGCAGAGGCAGAUUCUAUAUCCAUCUAGUAUUGGCAGAGCAAGAGCAAGAGCAAGAGCACAGCACAGCUUUCUUCCUUCACAACCACCUUCCUGUUCAGGCGCCCGUUCUAGCUCAGGAUGGAGUACAAGGGGAAGAGCCAUGGCAGCAAGCACCGGGGAGGGUCCGGAUCAGGAGGGCUCAGCAGGAUGCUGCGGGAGCACAAGGCCAGGCUCUACAUCAUUCGCCGAUGCGUCGUCAUGCUCCUCUGCUCUUGAUCCCAUUCUUCUUCUCGAUAGCUUAGGCUUGACAGAUUCUUUGGUGCGUGAGUACAUAACAUAGGGUAGUUUAGAAGGUCCCGAUGGAUGUUGCUCCAAGUUUUGGUGUGGUAUGGUGCUCCUAAGUCCUGCAAUGGCAAGGUUGUACAUGUACUCAUGUGUCAGGUGUUGGAGUGUUACUUUGUGUGUUUGCUCUAUCAGCACAAGCG
rnacentral:rRNA from 1 species